ACAACCAAAUAACGCUGAAAACCCUGGUUCUCAUUCGCUCACUACUGUUAAGCAGUGUUAAGACUGGUCAGUACUUAGAUGGGGGACUGCUUGGGAACACCAGGUUCUGUAAG